AGAGUUUGAUCAUGGCUCAGGAUGAACGCUAGCGGCAGGCUUAACACAUGCAAGUCGAGGGGUAUAGGUUUUCGGACCUAGAGACCGGCGCACGGGUGCGUAACGCGUAUGCAAUCUACCUUUUACAGAGGGAUAGCCCAGAGAAAUUUGGAUUAAUACCUCAUAGUAUUAUUGAAUGGCAUCAUUUAAUAAUUAAAGUCACAACGGUAAAAGAUGAGCAUGCGUCCCAUUAGCUUGUUGGUAAGGUAACGGCUUACCAAGGCAACGAUGGGUAGGGGUCCUGAGAGGGAGAUCCCCCACACUGGUACUGAGACACGGACCAGACUCCUACGGGAGGCAGCAGUGAGGAAUAUUGGUCAAUGGGCGCAAGCCUGAACCAGCCAUGCCGCGUGCAGGAUGAAGCAUCUAUGGUGUGUAAACUGCUUUUGUACGAGAAGAAACACUCCUUCGUGAAGGAGCUUGACGGUAUCGUAAGAAUAAGGACCGGCUAACUCCGUGCCAGCAGCCGCGGUAAUACGGAGGGUCCAAGCGUUAUCCGGAAUCAUUGGGUUUAAAGGGUCCGUAGGCGGUUUUGUAAGUCAGUGGUGAAAGCCCAUCGCUCAACGGUGGAACGGCCAUUGAUACUGCAAGACUUGAAUUAUUGGGAAGUAACUAGAAUAUGUAGUGUAGCGGUGAAAUGCUUAGAGAUUACAUGGAAUACCAAUUGCGAAGGCAGGUUACUACCAAUAUAUUGACGCUGAUGGACGAAAGCGUGGGGAGCGAACAGGAUUAGAUACCCUAGUAGUCC
rnacentral:rRNA from 1 species